rnacentral:rRNA from 1 species
UACAGAGGUCCCAAGCGUUGUUCGGAUUCACUGGGCGUAAAGGGUGCGUAGGCGGGUCUUUAAGUCAGGGGGGAAAUCCUGGAGCUCAACUCCAGAACUGCCUUUGAUACUGAGGAUCUUGAGUUCGGGAGAGGUGAGUGGAACUGCGAAUGUAGAGGUGAAAUUCGUAGAUAUUCGCAAGAACACCAGUGGCGAAGGCGGCUCACUGGCCCGAUACUGACGCUGAGGCGCGAAAGCGUGGGGAGCAAACAGG